rnacentral:misc_RNA from 1 species
GCAGACUCCAAAGGUAAUGACAGAUACUAGAGUUGGUGAAGUCCGAAAGAGAAAGGCUAUGAAUGAUUUUAUAUAGAGAUGUUCUUGCAGCCGCUUUCUCUCAGUCUCUCUGAGUUGAAGAAGCUUAUCCUUAAACGCAGAAUCCCAUGAAUACAGUUUCAGGACUCUCAUUCUCUUGAGAGCCUCUGAAGUUGCUUUAAUUCUUGA